rnacentral:rRNA from 1 species
CCUACGUGGUGCUGCAGUGGGGAAUAUUGGACAAUGGGCGAAAGCCUGAUCCAGCCAUGCCGCGUGUGUGAAGAAGGCCUUCGGGUUGUAAAGCACUUUCAGUGGGGAAGAAAGCCUUGGGGCUAAUACCCUCGAGGAGGACAUCACCCACAGAAGAAGCACCGGCUAACUCCGUGCCAGCAGCCGCGGUAAUACGGAGGGUGCGAGCGUUAAUCGGAAUUACUGGGCGUAAAGCGCGCGUAGGCGGUCUGAUAAGCCGGUUGUGAAAGCCCCGGGCUCAACCUGGGAACGGCAUCCGGAACUGUCAGGCUAGAGUGCAGGAGAGGAAGGUAGAAUUCCCGGUGUAGCGGUGAAAUGCGUAGAGAUCGGGAGGAAUACCAGUGGCGAAGGCGGCCUUCUGGACUGACACUGACGCUGAGGUGCGAAAGCGUGGGUAGCAAACAGGAUUAGAUACCCUAGUAGUC